UUUAAUUGAGGUAAAAUAAAUGUUGCUAUCAGAAGUCACAAUGGAGAAUACCGGUGGCAAAGCUAAAGGGUCUCUCUUUACACAUUAACUUCCUUGCCCUCUCUUUGGAUAAAACACUGGACAAUAUGUAUUUCAGACAUGAAAGGAGAUGAGUGAUGUUUUAUUACUUUUCUCAUGUGGAUAGCUUAGCAGAGCUUUCAACUGUUCUUUGCCAUAACGUGCUUUUGCAAGUUAUUUUCUGCUGUGGAUCUUUGGAUGCUGCACCAGCCCACAAGGAGAUGUGACUUGAAUUCCAAUGAAGACCAAGCUUAGGAAAAGUAAAAAGCUGUUAUUAUUUUGGAUGAAACCCCAUAAGGUCUUAUGAUCAGACUGGGAAACUGGGGAUGACUACAGGAAUUCUCUUGUUUGACAGAUGUUCUGCAAGUCCAUGGGCCUCUGUAAAUGGCUGGUCAAUUCAACACCUUUUUUACUUAGUGACACAGAAAAAAGUGACUGAUGGAUGAUUCUAACAAGCCUAAGACUUUAAGCCCUCAGCGCAAGAGUUUACAUCAGGUUCUUCACAGAAGGAAAAACCAUUUAAUCCUUGAAAACUGUUAAAAACUUCCCAGAAGACAGAAAAAAUACAACCUUAUACAGUGCAUGUGUAUGUUAUUUAUUUUUCCAAAUGUUGGCCUUGCUGGAUAAUAAACUAAGACACUAUGAA